rnacentral:tRNA from 1 species
GGGUUAAAAGCGAAUUAUUGCGUUUAGUUUCGACCUAAAAGUUGGCUGUAGAAGUCUUAACCCG